CGAUCGACCCGUUUACCUGCUUCAUUUCCUCUCUUAUUCUCUGUUUGUGAUUCUUGUUGCUUGGACUCUGUUCUUAGGGUUCUUCCUCCUCCAGAUGAUAUCAAUUUCACGUUUUUUUUUCAUAUCAGUUUAAAUGGGGUUAUGUGAUUUUGGUACUAAAAUGAUAAUCUUUCAGCAAAUUUCUUAUUUUGCGAUGAUCUUAACACUCAAAAUAGUUUUUUUUUUCUUUCUAGAGUUAUGGUGAUCAUUGAUCAUUUUUCAUUAAGCUGUUGGGUUAUGUAUCUGCUGCGUUGAUGAUGCCAGAUUAGCCCUUAAUUUUAUGAUUUUUUAAGACAAGAAUUGUAGUAUUGUCUGAUUUCUGUCUGAUACGUACUUGUGUUUUGGGCUUUUUAUGUGCUCUUAGAAGCUAUGGGGAUGGCGUCUAUGAGCUCUACUAGAGCUGCUCUAGUGGUGAAAGCCUUCGACUGUACGUGUUUGAUUUGAGGAGAGGCCUAAACGAAGGACGGGAGCUGGACAAGGUCUUUCUUGUUCUUCUAUCCUCCUGAUUUAACCAUCUCAACUCAGCUAUCCUUUAUUGGGCUCAGCGAAUGGGUUAUCACAUUCACGAGACUCUUUUCUCCCCGGAAGCAGCUUGUGAGGUAAAAGAAGCAGAGAGACACUCUGAUGUUUUCCAUGAGGCCGAGCCUGAUGUAUGAAUGGUCAUGAUAGUAGAGAAAAAUAAGGAGAUUGAAGCCAUAUGGAGGAUUGAUGCAUUUGUAUCCAUUAUCACACACUGUUUAAAUGGUACUGCAGCGGAGCAUUCUCCAUGGAUUAAAAAUUCUGCAUUUACUACUUUUUUAAUGAAGUUCUUUUCAGAUGUUUAGGUUUUUUUUUAUUACAAAGUUGAAAAGAUUGAUCAUGUUGUCUACAACACUUGGUCGUAGAAACUUGACCCUAGACGGUUUCAAAAGGUCAAAACAAACUUCGGAUCCAAAUUAAUUAUCAUUUUAGAUCCAAAUCCACGAAAGCUCCUAAGCUUUAUCA